CGCACGGGUGAGUAACACGUAUCCAACCUGCCGUCUACUCUUGGACAGCCUUCUGAAAGGAAGAUUAAUACAAGAUGGCAUCAUGAGUCCGCAUGUUCACAUGAUUAAAGGUAUUCCGGUAGACGAUGGGGAUGCGUUCCAUUAGAUAGUAGGCGGGGUAACGGCCCACCUAGUCUUCGAUGGAUAGGGGUUCUGAGAGGAAGGUCCCCCACAUUGGUACUGAGACACGGACCAA
rnacentral:rRNA from 1 species